UACGUAGGGGGCAAGCGUUGUCCGGAAUCACUGGGCGUAAAGGGCGCGUAGGUGGCCCGGUCAGUUCGUGGUGAAAGCGCGGGGCUCAACCCUGCGUCGGCCAUGAAUACUGCCGCGGCUGGAGCACUGUAGAGGCAGGCGGAAUUCCGGGUGUAGCGGUGGAAUGGCGUAGAUAUCCGGAGGAACACCGGUGGCGAAGGCGGCUCCUGGACCGACACUGACGGCUGAGGCGCGAAAGCUAGGGGAGCAAACGGG
rnacentral:rRNA from 1 species